CCUACGGGGGGCAGCAGUGAGGAAUAUUGGUCAAUGGGCGAGAGCCUGAACCAGCCAAGUCGCGUGAAGGAUGACGGCCCUACGUGUUGUAAACUUCUUUUGUCAGGGAGCAAUUGGGUCCACUCGUGGGCUUAGCGAGAGUACCUGAAGAAAAAGCAUCGGCUAACUCCGUGCCAGCAGCCGCGGUAAUACGGAGGUUGCGAGCGUUAUCCGAAUUGAUUGGGUUUAAAGGGUGCGUAGGCGGAAUAUCAAGUCAGCGGUAAAAAUUCGGGGCUCAAACCCGUCGAGCCGUUGAAACUGAUGUUCUUGAGUUGGCGAGAAGUAUGCGGAAUGCGUGGUGUAGCGGUGAAAUGCAUAGAUAUCGAGCAGAACUCUGAUUGCGAAGGCAGGAUACCGGCGCCAAACUGACGCUGAGGCACGAAAGCGUGGGUAGCGAACAGGAUUAGAUACCCGUGUAGUC
rnacentral:rRNA from 1 species